GUUAUAGCCUGAAAGCAGCCAUAGAAGGUACAUAAAUAAAUGGGUGUGGCUGUGUUCCAAUAAAACUGUAUUUACAAAAAUAGGUGGCAGACUGGAUUUGGCCUAUGGGUCAUAGUUUGCCCACUCUUGAUCUAAUCUAUAAACCAUGAUUUAUGAGAUUGUCUACUCUGGCUGUGAAGAACAGACACUAUUACUGGCUCUGGAAACACCACCUGGAACACAGCUGUGACUUGAUAAACAAGUGAAACAUUCUUUGGUGUGGUGAGGGGAAAACAAAUUUCUCAAAGGACACGCACCAUGGUGUAUGAGAGGACACUGGAGCCCAGCCAGCAUCUGACAUGCUGAAUUCAAAGUGCAGGUGAAAGUAGGACAACUGAUUCACAAGCUGGGAUGCCUGUGUUGUUGUUUGCCAGUGUGCGUGUGUGUGUUUUCCUGGCACCCUUCAUUCAUUCCCCAGCACAGUUGACAUCAGGUUGGAAGCAGUGAGUUCUGAGGGAGACUGCUAGAGGACCCAACUUGGAGAAUCAACGAUCUGCGAUGAAGAUAAUGAAGAUAAAGACAAUGUCAAUGUCAGCGUCCAAAAUCAUAAGGACCCUUUAAGAAGCUUCCAGAGCAGAAGUGACUGUGCAAGAAGGGCCAAUAAAGUCUAGGCAAUGCACGACCAGGCGCGGUCGCUCACGCCUGUAAUCCCAGCACUUUGGGAGGCCGAGGUGGUUGGAUUACCUGAGGUUAGGAGUUUGAGACCAGCCUGACCAACAUAGUUUCACCCCAUCUCUACUAAAAAAAAAAAAAAAAACAAAACAAAAGUUAGCCAGGUGUGGUGCUGCACACCUGUAAUCCCAGCUACUCUGGAAGCUGAGGCAGGAGAAUCGCUUGAACCCAGGAGGCGGAGGUGGCAGUGAGCUGAGAUUGCACCGCUGCACUCCAGCCUGGGCGACAGAGUGAGACUCUGUCUCAAAAAUAAAUAAAUAAAUAAAUAAUAAAGUCUAGGCAAUGCAGCAGACUGCAGACAAAUGGGUCUCCAGACUCAUGAGCACUUGGCUUUUGUUACUCUCACCUCCACCACCCUUUACCUGGUUCUAUAUCUGUCCUUUGGACCUUCCUGCAUUUACCUUCCUGCUUUUGCUCCUUAGUCUGGUUUUGUCCCAGAAUUUACUCUCCUACUGCCCGCUCUCCUGUCCCUGAUGGUUCAUAGUUUCUUACUAUCAGGGAGAAACCCUGAUAUUGACUUGGCCCAGCAGUAAUUCUGUCCAUGCAAUUCUCUUGCAUGGGCUGUGACAGGCAGACACCUCACUAAUUAGAUCAGCACAGGGGUCUGCAUACAUUUAGUGUGGGGACCUCCAGCCCAUCCUGGAGCGCACAAAUUUAGUUCAGCACCAUUCAGCUGCUGAAAUUUGAUGCAGUGGCCCUGGAUGACCAAAGAAUGUGGUGAUAAUUCUAAACAGGGUGUGUUCAUUAAGUGAAGGAAAUGUAGAAUACGUUUUAGAUGAAAAAGAAAUUUUUAAGUUUGGAGGGUAAAGAUCAAUCAUCCGUAAAACUAACUGAUAUAUAACAGUUCAUUUUUGUUGAUACUAGAUAAAUAAGGAGUGAAGACAUUUUCAGAAUUACAAUGGCAUUUAUCUGCCUUCAUUAAAUUAAGCUCAGGAAACUAAUGCAGACUCCAAAUUGCCCACAGUCUAACACAGUCUCUGCAUCUGCGGUUAACAAAAUUAAAUUUGGGAAAAUCAAGAGUAAGACUUUUAAUGUUUCUACCACCUGUCAGCCUGGAAAGUUUUCUUAGUUUUUCUUUUUGGAGAGGCAUUUGAGAUUUGUGUUCCUGUCAACUUGAGAGAGGAAUGGAGGAAGUCAAAGGGAAGAAGAGGAGCUGAUGUUGCAGUCCGAGGGGAAACAGGAGUGAGGGCAGGGAGCCCAGAAGAGGGUCAGGGUGAAGAUGGGUGUGGGGAAGGCAGAGCAAACCAGCUGCUGCUGUCAACCCUGACCUAUUUCCUGGAGCUCUGGGAGCCCUCCCAUCCCUGCUCUCAGCAACAGUGAUGCUGCCUUUGGGCGGCUGUGCAGCCAACCCACACUGAGUGAUAGCUGUCCCUGUCAUUUUCUUAAAUGUCACCAGUGAAAGAGACAUUUCCACCUCCCUGGAGUACACAUACUCCACUUGUGGAUAAGUGGACACUUGGUUCCAUUUUCACAGCUUCCAAAAAUUGGUCACAGAUGACUAACAAUUGUGUCAACUUCUCUGGUAUGAGAAGCCAUAGAUGGAGGUAUACAGAAAUGAUUUCUUAAAAAAUGUAAUGUCCUUUCUAUGUGGCAGUAAAACAUCUUUCCUGCCACUAGGAGAAAUGUGUUCUUUGAAUUAUUUUCACAGCCAUAAAGGCAGACCUGUGAAAGGCUAUCUGUACUGGAUAGUUCUCUGCUUUCAUGGAUUUUAUUCAGAAUCAUCCAUUCUUGGAAAUGGUGGGGAAAGGGGAAAUAAAAAGAGAACAAAUAUAUGUUGGAUUAGUUAGUAUAAAUUAUAAUUCAUAAACUACAGUGUCCAAGCAAUAUUACCUUCCACAUAUUCUAGAAUAGCUUGGUUCCUAUUUUUGAGCCCCUGCCUGGUGCCAGUAACGUGUUUUCAGCUAAUUCAGGGUUUCUGUCCCCAUUUUCCUUGGAGGAAUAUCUAAGUUCUUUGGGGAUAUUGCUGGUGCCAAGCAUGAAGCUGUUGGAGAACGAGGAGGCUUUGGCAUCUUGUCCUCAGCAUCACGUAAAUCCUAUCAGAACUUAGAAGUGAAAUGGGAAGGAUUGUUUAUCUCCUGCCCAACUAGCUGCUGGGUUGUUCCUUACUCCCACUCACAAGGUCUCUUUGUGUCACUCUAGGUCAUUUUGCUCUCCUGAGACAGUCUGGGAACCACUUUGAGGCUGUUUGAGUCCAGAGCCAUGGCCUAGGCCUCUUGCAGUGUGGGGAUCCUGCUGUGUUCCCUCAGCCGAAUCAGGGGCACUGGGCAGUGCCUUCCCCUCUCCUGGCCUAUUCUCAGCCACGCCUAAGUGAUCUUAUUUCAUCUUGACACUAACCUUGGAUAUUUGAAAUAGAAUUAUUCAUUUACAAAGGAGGAAAAUGAGAUUCAGACAAGCUAAAUACAUGCCAAAGCCACAUAACUACAAGUGGCAGAGCUCAGUCUGCUUUCCAAACCCAUGCGGCUCCCUUCAUCACCGUGACUCACCCACUUUAUCCCCCAACUUCGAGGAAGUCUCUUCUGAUCACCCAAGAAUAAUGUCUGCCUCCUUAGAAAUUUUGUAGCCGUUGGUGUUUCAAUUUUGGGAGUGACAUCUAAUUGUCACACACUGUUUCACAUGCUAGCUAUCUGUGCACGUAUCUAGACAAGCCUGCUUAGGCUGUGGCUCCUGGAAGGCAAAGACCACUUCUUGUGUUUAUCUCUAUCCCAUCUACUAACACCACACUCUGCACAUGAUAAAUGUUUAAUAUAUGAUUGAUUACAAUAAAAACGUGUUAAAAAAUUGGUAAAUGGAUGAACCUCUACUUUCUAUAUGAAUGUAUUCUAUCUGUGUGCUUACACUGCAAUUAUAGGCUAGUUAACAAUGCAUGGCCUAUAGAUGUCUGCCCUUGUUCUUGCCUUCUAGUUCCACAGUCCUUAAUCCACACUGUACUUUGGAGAGCAUACAGGUCCAGCAGUGAUGCGGCUCUAUCUCACGCCUACUCUCUUAUUCUACUUACAGAAUCUGCUGUCCCCUGACUUUUUAAUUUCUCAGUUUUCUGACUCCAUUCCCAGGCUCCAGACAUAGGCCUCUAUGCUCUUCUUUUUAAAGACAAGUCAUUUGGACCCUUACUUGGAGCCUUUCUUGCCCUGUGGUAAGAUUGAAUCUCAACUCUGCAUGCUCCCUCAAUUGCCAGGGCACCUGGGACUCUGGGAACAGACAGGGUCUGUGCCCACAUCAGCCUGGUGGUAUUCUCACUGGCUUGGAGUAUUCUUGCCAGUGUCCUCAUCUUCCCACAGGACAGAAGGAUUAUCAUACGGUGAACAUAUGGAGUGUUCCCAAGGUGCCUCUUAAAAAAUCCCAAUAACUGGUUCAAUGGUACAGCUUAGAAAUGCGUAAUUGAAUUUUUAAAAAUAGUUUAGAUUAAAAUCUAUUUAGAAAAGGGGGAAAUGAUAUAUUUUCUUAUAUAUGCUAUGGCAAAGUUUAAUAUCCAAGGAUAAUCCCUACAGAGUUGUCAGAUCUGUUGGUUAUAAGGGAGAGAUACCUAAUUUAAAUUAAUUUAAGCAAAAGAAGAGAAUGAAUUGUUUAUAUAACUGAAAAGUCUAGGGCUUCAGGCACAAUAGAAUCCAGUGAUAUCUGUCUUUCUCUAAAUCUAGAGACUUUGCUUUCAAACUUUAAUUUGGACCCUAACAGGUGGGGCCUCUCUCAGAAGCAGAGAUACUUUCUCUCUCAGCAUCCAAUUAGUUGCUGAAAAAGUACUCUGAGUGGCCCUGCUUGGGUCAUGCCCGCUAUUAGACCAAUCUGUAUCCACUGAGAAAGGAUAUGCUGGUCAGCUUAGAUUAUGUUUCUUCUACUGUGGUUGUCAAUGCAGGAUCACAUGAUUGUGAGGUCCUCUAGAGUCCUCCAGACUAAGUGAGGCAAGGCAGAUUCCCAAAUGAAACAAUGUAGGGAAGACCGAAAUACCCAGCACAUGCCCAUUGUGUUCAUGAAUUAGGUCCUCCAUAAUGGUCCCCCCCCAUCUCACUACCCCCAGUGAAAUGAAUCUAUGCCCUACAAAUGGCUAAAGGGAAUUAACAUCUGUUGAUCUCUUGUUAAGUUCAAGCACUAUGCAGGGAAUAUUAAAAGCAUCAUAUUCUUUAACUCUUAUAAUUGUCUUCCUUUAUUCCACCUUUUUAACAAGUCUGCCACCAGUUCAGCAAGGCAAGCUAGGUCUCGUGUGGAAGGAAAGCCCUGCAGCCCCUCAGCAUUCACAGCUCUUAUUUUACUCACUGGUAUCUGGUCCUGUCCUCGAUCACUUUACCCUGACCUAACACCAGUCUCUAUUCCACCAUCAGUCAGCCCAGUUUUGCUACACCAAUUGACCAUCUCCAAAGAGUUUCUGACCUACCCCCUCCUUCUACCUGACAGUUCCACACACAGACCCCUUCCUCAUUCUCUGUGACUUACUGUAUUAGUCUAUUCUUGCACUGCUAUAAAGAAAUAUCCGAGACUGGAUAAUUUAUAAAGGAUAGAGGUUUAAUUGGCUCAUAGUUCUAUAGUCUGUACAGGAAGCAUAGAGGCUUCUGCUUUUGGGGAGGCCUCAGGAAAUUUAUAAUCAUGGCAGAAGGUGAAGGAGAAGCAAGCACAUCUUACAUGGCCAGAGCAGGAGCAAGAGGGUAGGGGAGAGCCUAUAUACUUUUAAACAACUAGAUCUCAUGAGAACUCCCUCACCAUUGCAACAUAGUACCAAGAGGAAAAUCCGCCCCCAUGAUCCAAUCACCUCCCACCAGGCCCCACCUCAAACAAUAGGGAGGAUUACAAUUCAACAUGAGAUUUGGGCAGGGUCACAGAUCCAAACCAUAUCAUUCUGCCCCAGCCCCUCCCAAAUCUCAUGUCCUUCUCACAUUUCAAAAUACAAUCAUAUUUACCCAAUAAUGUAUUCCCCCAAAAUUCCCCAAAGCCUUAGCUCAUUUCAUCACUUACUCAAAAGUCCACAGUUCAAAGUUUUAUGUGAGACAAGUCCCUUCUGCCUAUGAGCCUAUAAAAUUAAAAACAAGUUACUUACUCCCAAGAUACAAUUGGGGUACAAGCAUUGGGUAAAUACUCCCAUUCCAAAAGGGAUAAAUUGGCCAAAAGAAAGGGACCCAGCAGGGCAAUCAUUAAAUCUAAAAGCACCAAAAUCAUCUCCUUUGACUUCCAUGCUCCACAUCCAGAGCACACUGGUGUGAGGGGUAGGCUCCCAGAGCCUUCUGCAGCUCUAUGCCUUUGGCUUUGUAGGGUUCAGCCCCUGAGGCUGCUCUCAAGGGCUGAUAUUGAGUGUCUGUGGCUUCUCCAGGUGCAAGGUGCAAGCUGUUGGUGGAUCUGUCAUUAUGGGGUCUGGAGGAUGGUGGCCAUUUUCUCAUAGCUCCAUUAAGAAGUGUCCCAGUGGGGACUUUGUGUGGGGGACCCAACCCCACAUUUUUCCUCUGCACUGCCCUAGUAGAGGUUUUCCAUGAGGGCUCCACUCUUGCAGCAGGCUUCUGCCUAGACGUUCUGGCAUUUCCAUACAUCCUCUGAAAUCUAGGUGGAGGCUCCCAAGCCUCAACUCUUGCACUUUGUGCACCCACAGGCUUAACACCACAUGGAAGCCAACUAGGCUUAUGACUUGCAUCCUCUGAAGCAGGGGCCCAAGCUGUACCUUGGCCACUUUUAGCCAUGGCUGGAGUUGUAGCAACUGGGAUGUAGGAAGCUGUGUUCUGAGGCUGCAAAGGGCAGUGGGGCCCUUGGCCUGUCCAGGAAACCAUUCAAUCCUGUUAGGGCUCUGGGCCUGUGAUGGGAGGAGCUGCCAUGAAGUUCUCUAAAAUGGCUUCAAGGCUUUUUCCUCAUUGUCUUGGCUAUUAGCAUUUGCCUUCCCUUUAGUUAUACAAAUUUCUGCAGCCUGCUCGAAUUUCUCCCCUGAAAAUGAGCUACUACUGUUGCAACAUAGUACCAAACUUUCCUAACACAUGGCCAGGCUGCAAAAUUUCCAAACUUGCAUGCUAUGCUUUUUUUUUUUUUAAAUAUAAGUUCCAAUUUCAGGUAAUUUAUUUGCUUAUGUAUAUGAGCAUAGGUUGUUAGAAGUAGCCAGGUGACAUCUGAAUGCUGUGCUGCUUAGAAAUUUCUUCUGCCAGAUAUCCCAAAUCAUCUCUCUCAAGUUCAAAGUUUCACAGAUCCUUGGGGUAGGGUCAUAAUGCCUCCAAAUUCUUUGCUAAAACAUAACAAAAGUGACCUUUGUUCCAGCUCCCAAUAAGUUUCUCAUUUCUAUCUGAGAACUUCUCAGCCUGGACUUCAUUGUCCAUAUCACUAUCAGCAUUUUGAUUACAGCAAUUUAAGAAGUCUCUUGGAAGUUCCAAACUUUCCAUCAUCUUCCUGUUUUCUCAGCCCUCCAAACUGUUCCAACCUCUUCCCAUUAUCCAGUUAUAAAACUGCUUCUACAUUUUCAGGUAUCUUUAUAACAAUGCCCCACUCCUUGGAACCAAAAUCUGUAUUAGCCCGUUCUCACACUGCUAUAAAGAAAUACCUGAGACUGGGUAAUUUAUAAAGAAAAGAGAUUUAAUUGGCUUAUAGUUUUGCAGGCUGUACAGAAAAUAUACUGGCUUCAGCUUCUGGGGAGGCUUCAGGAAACUUGCAGUCAUGGCAGAAGGAGAAGGAGAAAUAGGCAGAUCUUACAUGGCCAAAGCAGGAGCAUGAAAG
rnacentral:lncRNA from 1 species